rnacentral:rRNA from 1 species
GACGAACGCUGGCGGCGUGCUUAACACAUGCAAGUCGAACGGAAAGGCCCUGCUUUUGUGGGGUGCUCGUGUGGCGAACGGGUGAGUAACACGUGAGUAACCUGCCCUUGUCUUUGGGAUAACUUCAGGAAACUGGGGCUAAUACCGGAUAGGAGCUCCUGCUCCAUGGGGGGGGUUGGAAAGUUUCGGCGGUUGGGGAUGGACUCGCGGCUUAUCCGCUGGUUGGUGGAGUAGUGGCUUACCAAGGCUUUGACGGGUAGCCGGCCUGAGAGGGUGACCGGCCACAAUGGGCCUGAGAGACGGACCAGACGCCUACGGGCGGCAGCAGUCGGGAAUAUGGCAGAAUGGGCGGAAGCCAGAUGCAGCAACGCCGCGUGCGGGAUGACGGCCUUCGGGUUGUAAACCGCUUUCGACGGUGACGAAGCGUGAGUGACGGUAAUGGGUAAAGAAGCACCGGCUAACUACGUG